rnacentral:rRNA from 1 species
AAAGUCCCCUUCGGGGGACAAGUAGAGUGGCGCACGGGUGAGUAACACGUAGGUAAUCUACCUUCGGAUGGGGAAUAACAACCGGAAACGGUUGCUAAUACCGCAUAAUGCAGCGGCACCUAAUGGUGACAGUUGUUAAAGCGGGGGAUCGCAAGACCUCGCGUCUGAAGAGGAGCCUGCGGCGGAUUAGCUAGUUGGUAAGGUAAUGGCUUACCAAGGCGACGAUCCGUAACCGGCCUGAGAGGGCGGUCGGUCACACUGACACUGACAUACGGGUCAGACUCCUACGGGAGGCAGCAGUCGGGAAUUUUGGGCAAUGGGCGCAAGCCUGACCCAGCAACGCCGCGUGAAGGAUGAAAUCCCUCGGGAUGUAAACUUCGCAAGAACGGGAAGAAUAAGUCUGUGUAAAUACCACAGAUGAUGACGGUACCGUUUGUAAGCUCCGGCUAACUCCGUGCCAGCAGCCGCGGUAAUACGGGGGGAGCAAGCGUUGUUCGGAUUUACUGGGCGUAAAGGGCGCGUAGGCGGCCAGCGCAAGUCAGUUGUGAAAUCUCCGAGCUUAACUCGGAAAGGUCAACUGAUACUGCGCGGCUAGAGUGCAGAAGGGGCAACUGGAAUUCUUGGUGUAGCGGUGAAAUGCGUAGAUAUCAAGAGGAACACCUGCGGCGAAGGCGGGUUGCUGGGCUGACACUGACGCUGAAGCGCGAAAGCUAGGGGAGCGAACGGGAUUAGACACCCCGGUAGUCCUAGCCUUAAACGAUGAAUGCUUGGUGUCUGGGGUUAUAAAGUCCCCGGGUGCCGU